rnacentral:rRNA from 1 species
UACGUAGGUCCCGAGCGUUGUCCGGAUUUAUUGGGUUUAAAGGGUGCGCAGGCGGCACGGCAAGCCGGCGGUCAAAUCGCGGGGCUCAACCCCGCCCAGCCGUCGGAGCUGCCGGGCUAGAGUGGGCGAGAAGUGCGCGGAAUGCGUGGUGUAGCGGUGAAAUGCAUAGAUAUCACGCAGAACUCCGAUUGCGAAGGCAGCGCACCGGCGCCCUACUGACGCUCAGGCACGAAAGCGUGGGUAUCGAACAGG